ACCUGUGUUGAUCCUGCCAGUAGUCAUAUUGCUUGUAU
rnacentral:rRNA from 1 species